GAUCCACUGGCUCAAUGGCAGAGCGUCUGACUACGAUUUGUAUCAAUCAGGAGGUUCUAGGUUCACCCCUGGGUGGAUCG